rnacentral:tRNA from 1 species
GUGAUGGCUCAGUGGUUAAGAGCACUGGCUGCUCUUCCAGAGGUCCUGAGUUCAAAUCCCAGCAACCACA